rnacentral:rRNA from 1 species
AUUGAACGCUGGCGGCAUGCUUUACACAUGCCAGUCGGACGGCAGCACAGAGGAGCUUGCUUCUUGGGUGGCGAGUGGCGAACGGGUGAGUAACGCAUCGGAACGUACCGAGUAAUGGGGGAUAACUGUCCGAAAGGACAGCUAAUACCGCAUACGCCCUGAGGGGGAAAGCGGGGGAUCUUAGGACCUCGCGUUAUUCGAGCGGCCGAUGUCUGAUUAGCUGGUUGGCGGGGUAAAGGCCCACCAAGGCGACGAUCAGUAGCGGGUCUGAGAGGAUGAUCCGCCACACUGGGACUGAGACACGGCCCAGACUCCUACGGGAGGCAGCAGUGGGGAAUUUUGGACAAUGGGCGCAAGCCUGAUCCAGCCAUGCCGCGUGUCUGAAGAAGGCCUUCGGGUUGUAAAGGACUUUUGUCAGGGAAGAAAAGGGGCAUGUUAAUACCGUGCUCUGAUGACGGUACCUGAAGAAUAAGCACCGGCUAACUACGUG